UAGGGAAUCUUCGGCAAUGGGGGGAACCCUGACCGAGCAACGCCGCGUGAGUGAAGAAGGUUUUCGGAUCGUAAAGCUCUGUUGUUAAGGAAGAACGAGUGUGAGAAUGGAAAGUUCAUGCUGUGACGGUACUUAACCAGAAAGGGACGGCUAACUACGUGCCAGCAGCCGCGGUAAUACGUAGGUCCCGAGCGUUGUCCGGAUUUAUUGGGCGUAAAGCGAGCGCAGGCGGUUAGAAAAGUCUGAAGUGAAAGGCAGUGGCUCAACCAUUGUAGGCUUUGGAAACUGUUUAGCUUGAGUGCAGGAGAGGAGAGUGGAAUUCCAUGUGUAGCGGUGAAAUGCGUAGAUAUAUGGAGGAACACCGGUGGCGAAAGCGGCUCUCUGGUCUGUAACUGACGCUGAGGCUCGAAAGCGUGGGGAGCGAACAGG
rnacentral:rRNA from 1 species